rnacentral:ncRNA from 1 species
GGUCAUGAGUGCCAGCUGCACGAGCCCCGGCUCGCUGGCCAGCAACCCUCCGGUACGGCGGGGUGCUCCGGGUGACGACCAGGUCGGCGACCCCCUCGGGCGUCGGCAAGCGUCCAGU